rnacentral:rRNA from 1 species
GAUGAACGCUGGCGGCGUGCUUAACACAUGCAAGUCGAACGGAAAGGCCCAAGCUUGCUUGGGUACUCGAGUGGCGAACGGGUGAGUAACACGUGGGUGAUCUGCCCUGCACUUCGGGAUAAGCCUGGGAAACUGGGUCUAAUACCGGAUAGGACCACUUCUUGGAUGUUGUGGUGGAAAGGUUUCUCGGUGUGGGAUGAGCUCGCGGCCUAUCAGCUUGUUGGUGGGGUAAUGGCCUACCAAGGCGUCGACGGGUAGCCGGCCUGAGAGGGUGUACGGCCACAUUGGGACUGAGAUACGGCCCAGACUCCUACGGGAGGCAGCAGUGGGGAAUAUUGCACAAUGGGCGCAAGCCUGAUGCAGCGACGCCGCGUGGGGGAUGACGGCCUUCGGGUUGUAAACUCCUUUCGCUAGGGACGAAGCGUUUUUGUGACGGUACCUGGAGAAGAAGCACCGGCUAACUACGUG